rnacentral:rRNA from 1 species
GGGUUGUGAGGUUAAGCGACUAAGCGUACACGGUGGAUGCCCUGGCAGUCAGAGGCGAUGAAGGACGUGCUAAUCUGCGAUAAGCGCCGGUAAGGUGAUAUGAACCGUUAUAACCGACGAUUUCCGAAUGGGGAAACCCAGUGUGACUCGUCACACUAUCAUUAACUGAAUCCAUAGGUUAAUGAGGCGAACCGGGGGAACUGAAACAUCUAAGUACCCCGAGGAAAAGAAAUCAACCGAGAUUCCCCCAGUAGCGGCGAGCGAACGGGGAGGAGCCCAGAGCCUGAAUCAGCAUGUGUGUUAGUGGAAGCGUCUGGAAAGGCGCGCGAUACAGGGUGACAGCCCCGUACACAAAAGCGCAUGUGCUGUGAGCUCGAUGAGUAGGGCGGGACACGUGGUAUCCUGUCUGAAUAUGGGGGGACCAUCCUCCAAGGCUAAAUACUCCUGACUGACCGAUAGUGAACCAGUACCGUGAGGGAAAGGCGAAAAGAACCCCGGCGAGGGGAGUGAAAAAGAACCUGAAACCGUGUACGUACAAGCAGUGGGAGCACCUUCGGGUGUGACUGCGUACCUUUUGUAUAAUGGGUCAGCGACUUAUAUUCUGUAGCAAGGUUAACCGAAUAGGGGAGCCGUAGGGAAACCGAGUCUUAACCGGGCGUUAAGUUGCAGGGUAUAGACCCGAAACCCGGUGAUCUAGCCAUGGGCAGGUUGAAGGUUGGGUAACACUAACUGGAGGACCGAACCGACUAAUGUUGAAAAAUUAGCGGAUGACCUGUGGCUGGGGGUGAAAGGCCAAUCAAACCGGGAGAUAGCUGGUUCUCCCCGAAAGCUAUUUAGGUAGCGCCUCGUGAAUUCAUCUCCGGGGGUAGAGCACUGUUUCGGCUAGGGGGCCAUCCCGGCUUACCAACCCGAUGCAAACUGCGAAUACCGGAGAAUGUUAUCACGGGAGACACACGGCGGGUGCUAACGUCCGUCGUGAAGAGGGAAACAACCCAGACCGCCAGCUAAGGUCCCAAAGUCAUGGUUAAGUGGGAAACGAUGUGGGAAGGCUCAGACAGCCAGGAUGUUGGCUUAGAAGCAGCCAUCAUUUAAAGAAAGCGUAAUAGCUCACUGGUCGAGUCGGCCUGCGCGGAAGAUGUAACGGGGCUAAACCAUGCACCGAAGCUGCGGCAGCGACACUGUGUGUUGUUGGGUAGGGGAGCGUUCUGUAAGCCUGUGAAGGUGU